UUCUGUUUUACUCCUACUCCUUCGUGGUUCCUUCACAGCAGAUAGCCGGCGACCUUAUCUGACCUUGCAUGGUUGUUGAUGCCCCCGGAAUCAAGACGACGUGGACUCUUCCCAUCUGAUCUGUCGUCGCACCAUCUUAUCUCCGAAGCAGUCCAUCAUCGCCUGGCCAAGCUCCAUCACACCGUCUUCCUUCCGGAAUUCGGAGCAGAAAGUUCUAUAAUUACAAUUCCCAACUCUCUUACAAAGGCAUGAUCUUGUGGCCGAUAAAAGAAAGUUCCAUAAUUACAAAGCCCAACAAAGUCCAACAUCUCUAGCCAUUUACUUUUCUUACCCUCUUCUCCUGUAAAACAUGUGAGUUUUGCUAGAGAUUAUCAAUUUAUCAUUUACCGUAGUUUAGACUCCACAGCCUCCUUAGAUCUCAGCCCAUGAUCCGCACUGUGUCUCCCCUGCCUCAUAGUCCCGCAGCCGCAACUUUAAAAUAGCCAUGUCUUGGGUUGCAUGUAGAUCUUCUGUCUCAGAUCACUGACGAUCUGGAUGAAAUCCUGAUUUUCCUGUCUCGUUGCCUGGUGGUUUGAUGCUCCAACUCACUCGUAGUGUUUCUGCUUCUGCUGCUUUCGCCGCCGCAUGGGCUAGACGAUUUCCGUUUCUGGGGGUCCAAGUUAUUCCCUUUUCAGCUAUUGCUCCUGUUCCGGUGUCCUUCUUAAAGGCUGCAUCAACAUUUGCUUUUAGCCAGUUCUCAGGGGGAGGUCUCCAUUUCACCAGAUCCAUGACGCACCCUUUUUGCCCGUUGCUGUCCAGAAGUUACCGUCCGAAAAGUAGAUCAAUUUCAAAGUUUGCACCCAGAUUGCAUUUGGGUUCUUCAAUGCUCUCCAUGCUUGUUUUGCAAGGUGGGCUGAAUUUUGAUUUUCAAGAUCUUUAAACCCCAGUCCCCCAUUUCUCUUGCUCUCUGUAAUGCUUUCCCAUUUCUUCCAAUGGAUGCUUCGUUCCUUCCCCGAUGCUGCCCACCAGAAUCUUGCAACCUUAGCGCAAAUUCUUUUCAGGCUUGAGUGUGGAAUAGUGAAAGUGACUCUCUUUUGAUAUUUUGCAUUCUUUUUUUGGUAAUAUUUGUUUGGACACUAUUAAAUUCAUAAAAUAAAAUUUUAGUGUGUUUGACAAAUUUUUAAUAAUAAAAGUAAAAGCACUAUAAAAACAAAAAAAUAUUCUUUUAAAAAGCUACAAUUCAUAUUUUUUUAAAGAAUCUUUUUUUAAAAUAUUUUUUAUAUAAUAAAUAAACAAAAAAAUACUUUUAUCUUAUUUUACUUAAACAUAAUUGAUAAAUAAAAAAAUUUACAUAAAAUAUCUAAAUAUAAAAUUUUUUUAUUUUUAUAAAAAAUUAUUAAAAAAAUAUUUUAUGAAAAUGGCGUUCAAACAGACUCUCAGCGCAAAUUCCUUCUCCCAAUGAUUAGGCAUUCUAGUCAUUUCAUCAAAUUUACAAAGCAUUGCCUACAAUUAUUCUUUUUAUUUCUCUUUUUUUUUUAUCUUUCACUUUUCGUGUUCAAUUUUCAAGUUUCAGCAGUUAAGAUUAUGAGAGAUUUAUAUUAUCAUACUGUAAAAUAAAUAAAUAAAUGAGAUCAGAUGAAUCUGAAACAAAAAUAUCCUCAAAUUAGACAAUUUGGAAAGCUGGAAGGUUUAGGGGUUUGGUACAUUAUAUUAGUACAAGGGUGUGUGUAUGAAACAUGAGCAAAAUCUCCAUAUCCUAUGCUUCUGAAUCUGACUCUUCAUCCUCGUCCUCGUACUCGCCAUCACUUAAUAUCUCUGUCUCAGCCAGCCAUUUCAACCUAUCAUUGUCAUGGUCUCUGUUGCUCACGCAUUUCUUUUGUCUUGGAGCCGUAAACCUCCUCAAGUUUUCCAUCACAGUUUGGAGGUUCUCUGAGAAGGAAAGAGGCUCUUGGUUCCUAAAAUCAAUAUCAUCAAGAUCAUAAUCUUCCGGACAUGAACUGAUCAUAUUUAUUGACAAUCGUCUUCUGCCCUUAAAACCAAGAAGUUUCUUGAAAGAUGACGAUCCGGCUGAGAAGCAGCAGCUGCAAGAGUCAGCACAAGGACUUGAAUUGUCAAGUACCAUGACACUUUUUGAGCAUGAUGCUUCUUUUACUUGUAAAAUAGUAUCCAAUUCUUCCACAUCACUUGAGGAAUCUGUUCCUGUUGCACUUCCUUCCUCCACCCAAUCUCUUGGUACCCAUAUUAUGUUCAAGUUUAAACCCAUAAACGAUCCAGAUCCUAAGGUAGCUGGAUAUGGACAUGAGAAUUGGAUAUCAGCCAUGUUUGUUUCUUUCUUAUAUACAUGAACCCCCCAGUCUUUCAGGAUGAUGUCUGGUUCACACUUCACCUGGAUGGACUUCCAACAAUUAUCAUGUCGGAAACGAGCAUCAAGCCUCUUCCACUCCUCAACUCUGAAUAAAACACGCAGGUCGCACAACAGCACAUGAUCUUCUGCUAUAUUGAAAAUAAGAUGUUGGCUUUGAACAUUUAUAUACUCAUUGUCAAUGAACAAGUGCAUUUUAACAGCUUGAUAGUUUAUUUUGUCGAACACAAAGGCCAAAGCCACAACAGGGAACUUGCCACGAGCCCAGAAAAUGGGAGUCUCACGAUGGCCAUGAUAGUCCAACCAUUCUGGAAUCUUUGUUUCGGGCAUCACAACUUCUAAUCUAUUAAUCUCUGUAAACACCUGUGACAUCCAUGGAGAAAUGGUUUAGCACAAUCUUUUUGUUGUCAUUUUUUUCUUUCGAUUUUGAUUUUGCUAAAUAAAAUGAAAUGAAUGUGAGGAAGUAGUGAACCUGUGACCAUAGCAUACUUGAUGACUCAGCUGUUAAGGAAUCGCAGUGUCUUGCAUCUACUUUCUGAACAGUAGAGGGCAGUUCUGGAAUUUGCUGUAGCUUCAGGCAAUAACUCACAUCAAGAGUUGUCAAGUUAAUAGAUUCCUUAAUGUACGCUGGGAUUGAUACAAAACAGUUCGAUGACACAUUUAAUUCUCUCAGCUUUGGGAAACUAUGUACAAUCACAUAAAGAUCUUCAUCUGAUAGACUGGCAUUGCAGAAAUGCAAAGUCUCUAGAUUUGGCCAGCACUCUGCUCUAGAAUCGCAUCCUUUGAACUGCGUAAAUGAUUCCCGAAGUUGAGGGCACCCUCCAAUUUUUAAUGUGACAAAAUUUGGCAACACAAAUAGCUUACUUGGUAGAUUUUGGAGUUGCUUACAACUUGACAUAUCCAAGUAACCAAGUCCACUAAGAUUGGCAAAGGAAGGUGGAAGCUCUCUAAUAGCAGUAUCUUUCAUACAAAUUUUUAAUGGCUUAUCCAUUGUUCCCACUAUGUCUGGAAAGAAUGCAAGUCUUCUACACAUGUCAAAGGAAAGGAAUUCAAGAGACGGCAAAAAGAUUCUUGGCAGAAAGCUUCUUAGUUGAAUGCAUCCGGAAGCACUUAAGUAAACAAGAAACAUCAGGAAUUCUAGUGAUGGAUUGACAAUAGGAGAAAUUCAUGUAGGUCAAAUGCUCAAAUUUCUGCAAAGCAAAAACCAAUUGAUCAAUAACAGCGGCAUCAUAGCUAAAUUGAAUAAAUUUUAAGGACUGCAAGUAACUAGCAUCACCAACUUUACCUGAAAUGGUUUUUUCAAUACAAGAGGACUGCAACGUAAGUUGAAGGCAGCAAUUUUCUUGGGAUAAAAAUCUG